rnacentral:rRNA from 1 species
UACGUAGGGUGCAAGCGUUGUCCGGAAUUAUUGGGCGUAAAGAGCUCGUAGGCGGUCUGUUGCGUCGGCUGUGAAAACCCGAGGCUCAACCUCGGGCCUGCAGCCGAUACGGGCAGACUAGAGUUCGGCAGGGGAGACUGGAAUUCCUGGUGAUAGCGGUGAAAUGCGCAGAUAUCAGGAGGAACACCGGUGGCGAAGGCGGGUCUCUUGGGCCGAUAACUGACGCUG